rnacentral:misc_RNA from 1 species
CUGACAGCCACAUAAAUAUCCAGAACCUUUUAUAACACCACGAAGCUCCUUCUCCCGUGACCAUGCUAUAUACUUUACAGGAACUCCAUCCAGCAUUCCGGUGGACAGCAAACUUCUGACAUUUGAAGGGAAGUUGUUUGGAGGAGCGUUCUUAGAUGUUUUUAGGUCCUCUUUCUUCUUAGACACAUUUUCAGCUCCAGAGGCAGUUGUAUGGACAGCAGAUGCAAGUGCAUCCACAUUUGAAUUGAC